UUACAGAGGUCUCAAGCGUUGUUCGGAUUCAUUGGGCGUAAAGGGUGCGUAGGCGGCGCGGUAAGUCGGGUGUGAAAUCUCGGAGCUUAACUCCGAAACUGCAUUCGAUACUGCCGUGCUUGAGGACUGGAGAGGAGACUGGAAUUUACGGUGUAGCGGUGAAAUGCGUAGAUAUCGUAAGGAAGACCAGUGGCGAAGGCGGCUCACUGGUCCGGUACUGACGCUGAGGUGCGAAAGCGUGGGGAGCAAACAGG
rnacentral:rRNA from 1 species